GUCGAACGGCAGCGGGGGAAAGCUUGCUUUCCUGCCGGCGAGUGGCGAACGGGUGAGUAAUACAUCGGAACGUGCCCUGUAGUGGGGGAUAACUAGUCGAAAGAUUAGCUAAUACCGCAUACGACCUGAGGGUGAAAGUGGGGGACCGCAAGGCCUCAUGCUAUAGGAGCGGCCGAUGUCUGAUUAGCUAGUUGGUGGGGUAAAGGCCUACCAAGGCGACGAUCAGUAGCUGGUCUGAGAGGACGAUCAGCCACACUGGGACUGAGACACGGCCCAGACUCCUACGGGAGGCAGCAGUGGGGAAUUUUGGACAAUGGGCGAAAGCCUGAUCCAGCAAUGCCGCGUGUGUGAAGAAGGCCUUCGGGUUGUAAAGCACUUUUGUCCGGAAAGAAAUGGCUCUGGUUAAUACCCGGAGUUGAUGACGGUACCGGAAGAAUAAGGACCGGCUAACUACGUGCCAGCAGCCGCGGUAAUACGUAGGGUCCAAGCGUUAAUCGGAAUUACUGGGCGUAAAGCGUGCGCAGGCGGUUGUGCAAGACCGAUGUGAAAUCCCCGGGCUUAACCUGGGAAUUGCAUUGGUGACUGCACGGCUAGAGUGUGUCAGAGGGAGGUAGAAUUCCACGUGUAGCAGUGAAAUGCGUAGAGAUGUGGAGGAAUACCGAUGGCGAAGGCAGCCUCCUGGGAUAACACUGACGCUCAUGCACGAAAGCGUGGGGAGCAAACAGGAUUAGAUACCCUGGUAGUCCACGCCCUAAACGAUGUC
rnacentral:rRNA from 2 species